rnacentral:rRNA from 1 species
GACGAACCGUGCGAACGUUGUUCGGAUUCACUGGGCUUAAAGGGCGCGUAGGCGGGUUACCAAGUCAGGGGUGAAAUCUUUCGGCUCAACCGGAAAACGGCCCCUGAUACUGGUAGUCUUGAGGGAGGUAGGGGCAGGUGGAACUUCCGGUGGAGCGGUGAAAUGUGUUGAUAUCGGAAGGAACGCCGGUGGCGAAAGCGACCUGCUGGAUCUCUUCUGACGCUGAGGCGCGAAAGCCAGGGGAGCAAACGGG